rnacentral:rRNA from 1 species
CCUACGGGAAGCAGCAGUCGAGAAUCAUUCUCAAUGGGGGAAACCCUGAUCCUGCGACGCCGCGUGGGGGAAUGAGGUUCUUCGGUUUGUAAACCCCUGUCAUGUGGGAGCAAAUUAAUAAGAUCGUACCACAAGAGGAAUAGACGGCGAACUCUGUUCCAGCAGCCGCGGUAAUACAGAGGUCUCAAGCGGUGUUCGGAAUCACUGGGCGUAAGGGGUGCGGAGGAUGGAUCGUAAGUCGGGUGUGAAAGGCGAGGGCUCAACCCGCGGACUGCACAUGAUACUGCGAGACUAGAGUACGGGAGAGGUAAGAGGAAUGCGCGGUGUAGCAGUGAAAUGCGUAGAUAUCGAGAGGAACACUCGUGGCGAAGGCGGGUUACUGGACAUCAACUGACGCUGAGGCACGAAGGCGUGGGGAGCGAAAGGGAUUAGAUACCCGGGUAGUC